rnacentral:rRNA from 1 species
GCGACAGGCUUAACACAUGCAAGUCGAGCGUCAGCGGGGGUAGCAAUACCCGCCGGCGACCGGCGCACGGGUGAGUAACGCGUAUGCAACUUACCUAUCAGAGGGGGAUAACCCGGCGAAAGUCGGACUAAUACCGCAUGAAGCAGGGAUCCCGCAUGGGAAUAUUUGCUAAAGAUUCAUCGCUGAUAGAUAGGCAUGCGUUCCAUUAGGCAGUUGGCGGGGUAACGGCCCACCAAACCGACGAUGGAUAGGGGUUCUGAGAGGAAGGUCCCCCACAUUGGUACUGAGACACGGACCAAACUCCUACGGGAGGCAGCAGUGAGGAAUAUUGGUCAAUGGCCGAGAGGCUGAACCAGCCAAGUCGCGUGAGGGAUGAAGGUUCUAUGGAUCGUAAACCUCUUUUAUAAGGGAAUAAAGUGCGGGACGUGUCCCGUUUUGUAUGUACCUUAUGAAUAAGGAUCGGCUAACUCCGUGCCAGCAGCCGCGGUAAUACGGAGGAUCCGAGCGUUAUCCGGAUUUAUUGGGUUUAAAGGGUGCGUAGGCGGCCUUUUAAGUCAGCGGUGAAAGUCUGUGGCUCAACCAUAGAAUUGCCGUUGAAACUGGGGGGCUUGAGUAUGUUUGAGGCAGGCGGAAUGCGUGGUGUAGCGGUGAAAUGCAUAGAUAUCACGCAGAACCCCGAUUGCGAAGGCAGCCUGCCAAGCCAUGACUGACGCUGAUGCACGAAAGCGUGGGGAUCAAACAGGAUUAGAUACCCUGGUAGUCCACGCAGUAAACGAUGAUCACUAGCUGUUUGCGAUACACUGUAAGCGGCACAGCGAAAGCGUUAAGUGAUCCACCUGGGGAGUACGCCGGCAACGGUGAAACUCAAAGGAAUUGACGGGGGCCCGCACAAGCGGAGGAACAUGUGGUUUAAUUCGAUGAUACGCGAGGAACCUUACCCGGGUUUGAACGCAUUCGGACCGAGGUGGAAACACCUUUUCUAGCAAUAGCCGUUUGCGAGGUGCUGCAUGGUUGUCGUCAGCUCGUGCCGUGAGGUGUCGGCUUAAGUGCCAUAACGAGCGCAACCCUUGCCACUAGUUACUAACAGGUAAAGCUGAGGACUCUGGUGGGACUGCCAGCGUAAGCUGCGAGGAAGGCGGGGAUGACGUCAAAUCAGCACGGCCCUUACAUCCGGGGCGACACACGUGUUACAAUGGCGUGGACAAAGGGAAGCCACCUGGCGACAGGGAGCGAAUCCCCAAACCACGUCUCAGUUCGGAUCGGAGUCUGCAACCCGACUCCGUGAAGCUGGAUUCGCUAGUAAUCGCGCAUCAGCCAUGGCGCGGUGAAUACGUUCCCGGGCCUUGUACACACCGCCCGUCAAGCCAUGGGAGCCGGGGGUACCUGAAGUCCGUAACCGCGAGGAUCGGCCUAGGGUAAAACUGGUGACUGGGGC